AACUUAUAUUAAUUUAAUAAUUUUAUUUAUUAAAAAUAAUUAUAAUUAUUUAAUUUUUAGUAUUUUAUAAAAAACCAAUAAUUUUAAUAAUAGUUUAUUAGUAUUGUAAAAUAAAAUUGAAAUAAUUUGAAAAAUUUUUAUUUUAAAAGAAAAUUUAAUUUAUUGUACCUUGUGUAUCAGGGUUUAUUUAUUAAAAAAUAUUUAAUAUAUUUUUCUCGAUUUUAAAAGAGUUAAUAAAUUAUAAUAGUUAAUGUAAUAAAAUUAUUAUUCAUAAUUUAUUAGAAAUGAAAUGUUAUUCGUUUUUAAAGGUAUCUAGUUUUUUAAGAAAUAGUUUUAAUCUAUAUCUAUAUUUAAUAAUAAUUUUAAUUUAUUAAUUUUAUUUUUUAUAGAUAAAAUAUUUUAUGGGAUAAGCUAUAAAAUAAAUUUUUAUAAAAUAAUUACAAUAAUAAAAAAUAUAAGCUUAUAAUUAGCUAUUAUUAAUAAAUUUGUUAUAAAUUAUUUUUUAAUUAAAUUAUUUAUUUAAAUUUAAAUUGUUUAUUAAAAUAUUUAUUUUAAUUUUUAAAAUAAAUUAAUAAUGAUAAAAUUAGUAUAAUUUAUUUUAAAAAUAAUAAUUAAUGAAAAGUUAUAAUAAAGAAUUCGGCAAUAAUUAAUAUUUACCUGUUUAAUAAAAACAUGUCUUUUUGUAUUUAUAUAUAAAGUCUAACCUGCCCACUGAUAAAUAUUUAAAUGGCUGCAGUAUUUUAACUGUACAAAGGUAGCAUAAUCAUUAGUCUUUUAAUUGAAGGCUUGUAUGAAUGGUUGAAUAAAAUAUUAACUGUUUCAUAAUAAUUUAGUAUAAAAUUUUAUUUUUUAGUUAAAAAGCUAAGAUUUUUUUAAAAGACGAGAAGACCCUAUAGAUCUUGAUAAAUAUUUUAUUUUAUUUAUUUAAUUAAUAUUUAAUUAUAAUAAAAAUAUUUAUUUUAUUGGGGUGAUAUUAAAAUUUACAAAACUUUUAAUUUUAAUUAACAUUAAUUUAUGAGUAAUUGAUCUUUUAUUAAUGAUUAACAAAUUAAGUUACCUUAGGGAUAACAGCGUAAUUUUUUUGGAGAGUUCAAAUCGAUAAAAAAGAUUGCGACCUCGAUGUUGAAUUAAGAGAUAAUUUUGGGUGUAGAAGUUCAAAUUUAAAAUCUGUUCGAUUUUUAAAUUCUUACAUGAUUUGAGUUUAAACCGGCGUAAGCCAGGUUGGUUUCUAUCUUUAAUAAUUUAAAAUAUUUUAGUACGAAAGGACCAAAUAUUUGAAAAAAAAAUUUUUUUAAAAAUGAAUAAAAUUAAAUUAAUUAU
rnacentral:rRNA from 1 species